rnacentral:rRNA from 1 species
UGGGGAAUAUUGCGCAAUGGGCGAAAGCCUGACGCAGCGACGCCGCGUGAGGGAUGAAGGGCUUCGGUUCGUAAACCUCUGUCAGGGGAGAAGAAGUGUGAUCGUGCUAAUCAGCGGUCAUUUGACGGUACCCCCAAAGGAAGCACCGGCUAACUCCGUGCCAGCAGCCGCGGUAAUACGGAGGGUGCAAGCGUUAAUCGGAAUCACUGGGCGUAAAGCGCAUGUAGGCUGCUCUGUAAGUCAGAGGUGAAAGCCCACGGCUCAACCGUGGAACUGCCUUUGAUACUGUGGAGCUUGAGUCUGUGAGAGGGUAGUGGAAUUCCAGGUGUAGGGGUGAAAUCCGUAGAGAUCUGGAGGAACAUCAGUGGCGAAGGCGACUACCUGGUGCAGUACUGACGCUGAGAUGCGAAAGCGUGGGGAUCAAACA